rnacentral:rRNA from 1 species
UGGGGAAUAUUGGACAAUGGGCGCAAGCCUGAUCCAGCGACGCCGCGUGAGUGAUGAAGGCCUUCGGGUUGUAAAGCUCUGUUGAGGGAGAAGAAAACAGGUGGUUCAAAUAGAUCCAUCUCUUGACGGUAUCCCUUUAGAAAGCACCGGCUAACUCUGUGCCAGCAGCCGCGGUAAGACAGAGGGUGCAAACGUUGCUCGGAAUUACUGGGCGUAAAGCGCGUGUAGGCGGACCAACAAGUCAGGCGUGAAAUCCCUGGGCUCAACCCAGGAACUGCACCUGAAACUGUUGGCCUUGAGUGGUGGAGAGGGAAGCAGAAUUCCUGGUGUAGAGGUGAAAUUCGUAGAUAUCAGGAGGAACACCGGUGGCGAAGGCGGCUUCCUGGACACUAACUGACGCUGAGACGCGAAAGCGUGGGGAGCAAACAG